AUAACAGAAGAGGUAGGGAUAAUAAUAAAAGAAUCACUUCGAGCAAAUUCUAGUAUAUAUAUAGAGUGAGACCGAUUUAGACAGUGAUAACUGUAGCUUCCCCUGUCCUCAUCGAGAAGAUCAACCAUCAUAUGGUUUGGUUGUUUUGUUAGAUUUCCUCUUUAACACAACAAUCCAGGUAACCACUUCCAAUAAUAGGGCGAUUACUCCUAACACAACUAGUAUGCCAAUAUAUGCAGACCUCCACUUUGUCGCUGGAUCUAAUAUGUCGAGACCUUUGAAUACAUUAACCAAGCUGAGGAUAAGCAUUGUAUAGCCAACUCCGUGAUGGUAGAUAUUCCAGUAAAAUCUGUACUUAUGAUCCUUCUUCGGCCUCAACAACAAGGCAAAAACCUGCAAUGUUGCAAGACAGAAAAGUGCAAUCCCAAUAUUGCGAUGGACGUCAUAGGUGAUACCCUUUGAUUCACUUCCAAGCUUAAGACCAGUUGCCCAUCCAGCAACUCCAAUAACAUAAGCAGAACAUUGGCAGGAAAUAUGAAGAUAAAACCAUGCCGGAUCAGCAGAUUUGAAUGUCCUCAUGUACCUCGCAAUGAUGAUCCCGACAGGAAACAGAAAUCCCCAACUAAUAGCAUUAAGGAUUCCAUGGAUAUUUUUUCUAGUGACCCUAGAAUCGCCAGAAGCGCUGCUUUUGCUUUCUCCACUCAACAAAUCAAACGUUCCUUUCGAGUUCAGAUUAGCUGGCUGAAAACCAUGUUUUGCAGGAAAACCAUCGGUAACAGAGGGUCCCACCUGCCAUACAUGAUUCAACGUAGUUUUCCCCUUUUCCGGUAGCACAAGCGUUGCAAACAACCGCAUCAUUCCGCCGGAGAAUUCCGCUGCAGUCUCUUUAACAUCAAACCACAAUUUAGACGACUCCAUAAUUGAAGAAUAACUCGAAAUAUCAUACGUUUUCACCACCAUUUCGCCUUUGGAAUUUUUGAACGCAAACAAUGUUUGCGCCCCAACCAUACCGGGAGCGUUGGGAUUAAUAGCCCACGCAAUCCAUCCGUCAGGUUUAUCCGGAGGUGCAACAAAUGCGACAGAAAGAGUGGAAUUAGCAGCAUCGUAUGUCCAAUGAAGGAAUGAUUUGAGUACUGGAAGAUCGCUACAACGAGCAUAAACCUUGUUGUUGGUGAAUUGCUGUGAUGAACAUAUUUGGGAUAGUGAUGGGGAGAAUAAAGAAGCAAAGACAAGAAUAACGGCAACGAAAACGGCCGGCGAA
rnacentral:misc_RNA from 1 species